CCUACGGGGGGCUGCAGUGAGGAAUAUUGGUCAAUGGCCGGAAGGCUGAACCAGCCAUGCCGCGUGAAGGUCAGUGCCCUAUGGGCGUUAAACUUCUUUUGUGCGGGAGCAAUAAUGGUCACGUGUGGCCAGACGAGAGUACCGUACGAAUAAGCAUCGGCUAACUCCGUGCCAGCAGCCGCGGUAAUACGGGGGAUGCAAGCGUUAUCCGGAUUUAUUGGGUUUAAAGGGUGCGUAGGCUGUGAGGUAAGUCAGCGGUGAAAUGCCCCCGCUCAACGGGGUGAAGUGCCAUUGAUACUGCCUGGCUGGAAUGCGAAUGACGUGGGAGGAAUGUGUGGUGUAGCGGUGAAAUGCAUAGAUAUCACACAGAACACCGAUUGCGAAGGCAUCUCACGAAUCCGCGAUUGACGCUGAUGCACGAAAGCGUGGGUAUCAAACAGGAUUAGAUACCCUGGUAGUC
rnacentral:rRNA from 1 species